rnacentral:misc_RNA from 1 species
UCCGAGUUGACCCCGGCAGUCUCUUAUGAGUCCCCACCAUUACGUGCUGGCAACAUAAGACGAGGGUUGCGCUCGUUGCGGGACUUAACCCAACAUCUCACGACACGAGCUGACGACAGCCAUGCACCACCUGUAUACCGACCACAAGGGGGGCCGUAUCUCUACGGCUUUCCGGUAUAUGUCAAACCCAGGUAAGGUGGGGAUGACGUUUCUAGGAGGGUG